UCUAAAUAAUUCCUGUCUCUACAGGUGUUGAGACAGGCAGUUCUCACAUGAAAAAGAGAGAGAGAGAGAGAGAGAGAGAGAGAGAGAAGAAAAAAAGGAAAACAAAAUGAUGACAAAUGAGUUUACUUAGUAACCAUUUGGAAACACUACCUUCUACCUCUACCUAACCAUAAAUGGAAAUAUGGGCUUUACACCUUCUCUAAUCACAAGGUUUAGGUGGCCAUACAAUAACUGCGUGUUUGGAGUUAUUCAUCCUGACUGACUCCUGAGAUUUAGAAUAUAUGUGUGCUUGGACAUCUUAGCCAUAGAAACCUCAGAAACAGCUACUAAAGCACAAAACCCCUUCCCUUAGUAUGCACAGGCAUAAUGUACCUAAUCCUUUAUCUCUGGCAAAGCUGUUGGCUUUUUGCCAGGGGCAUGUUCGGUGGUGUGUGGAAUCUGGAGCUGCUGCCUGACAUUGCUGGUGAAGGUGCGCAGAUACCAUGGUGAUGGGAGUGAUAUAGGUGCCUAGAUGGAUGGAUGGAUGGAUGGGUGGAUGGAUGGAUGGAUGUUUUCUUUACCCACUCACCAGCUCUUUGAUUGAACCAGUCCAACUUGAUUUUCCAGAUUAUUUAAGUAAGGAGGCUCAAAUCCAUCUGUUUGAGAAAGCCUGGCAAGCAAUCAAGCCCCCUGCAAUUCUCCCCUGCUGCCAUCUCAAAAUUAAAGAAAGAUGUUAUCACUGUCAUCAGCACAAUGAUAACAUUAGCAGCGGUGAACCCAGGUACCCCUGCACAGAGUGCUUGUGCUGUACAGGGACUCUCUGUGUGUCUACAAGCAACAUAUGUGCUGCAGAGCUGGAGCUCCACCCCAAGUCCCUUGGAUGCGUGUGCUAGUCACAUAAGACAUUGGAUGAAGAACAAAGUCUUGCUUGGAAAGGAACAAGAACUCCUAAAAAAUUAAAGAAAAAGUUCCAUCAGCUUCAGCUGAGGAACUGAGUCCCUAGACCAGAAGUAGGCUCUGGUGUAACUGCUUUCAAAGUUCUAAGACUUUUGGCUGCCUGGUUUUGCACUGACCUGGCUUUAACACACAAGUGGAAAAACAGAGAGUGGUUUUAGAAAGGAUAUCUAACUGUCUGAAAACUCAGGCAACUUGCUUGAUAAGCCUAAAUCCUCUUUAAAGCCUUACAUUGAAAUGUCCCCCAUCUUGGAAAGAGUAGGAAAAUGUCCUGGAAAGAGGGGAAUCUACCUGAUUUUAUAGAAAAUAGCAAGAAUGACCAUAUUUAAUGACACUGACUGUAGUGUUUACUAUAAGUGAGCUUGGAGCCAUUUCCAGGGCUCAACAGUAUUCAAGUGGCUGUUUACCUAAAGGUAGAAAUAUUUCAACAGGAACAGAUGCUCCUGACCACAUGUAGGUGGCUAAACCUAAAUGCCUGGGGACCUUUCAAGCUAAUUAGGGAAGAAUCUAGCAAACUUAAGCACAUACAAUAUUAGGCAGUUGUGGAAAAGAGACAGGCUGAACUUUCACCUGGGAUCAAAUGAGGAUUUGGCAAUAAUGAUCUAACCUAAACAGAGUUUAGGAUGCUUUUAUCCUACUCCUAACUAUAGCUUGCCUUGUUCCAGUUGCAGGUGCAAGUUCCUCUGCAUUGACUCAAGAUGAACUACCUGUUUCUUCAGUGAAAACAAA
rnacentral:lncRNA from 1 species